ensembl:lncRNA
AGGGACAGAGGAUCCUGGUGCACCAGAGCCCUAGGUUAUUGCCAGGAGUCAGAGAUGACUUGGCAACUAGGCAAGCAGUGCCCACCCUUGCUUGCUUUGGAAACCUAGCUCAGUGAUUAGAGCCCCUGAAAUCCCCAGGCAAUGUGAGCAAUCUUCUUCCAAGUAGACACAGGGAGUGUCCUUUCAACCUGUGCGGACAAGUCGCUCUUCGAGAAAAAAGACUAGUCCGAAGGCUUCUUUAGAAUGGUGGCCUCAUCCAUGGCCCUGGCGAAUUAGCUUUUUUCAGUUGCUCAGUCACGUCCAACUCUCUGCAUCCCGGCUCCUGUGUCCAUGGAAUUUUCCUGGCAGGAAUCCUGGAGUGGCUUGCCAUUUCUUUCUCCAGGGGAUCUUUCCCAACUCAGGGAUGGAACCUGUGUCUCCUGCAUUGCUGGAGGAUUCUUUACCAUCUGAGUUGCAAGAGUCCUUCGGGAAAGUUUUCUCUGAGAACAAGCAGAGGUGGCAGCCCCAGAGGCAGCUGAAGGAAGCCCCAGGCUUGACAGAGUCUGCCCGCCCAGGGAAGGCUCACCGAGUUCUUUGAAGGUGUGCUGUCGGUUGCCUGAGCGUCUGAGAAGACACACCACUGUGAAUGAGCCUCUGGAUUUCCUCACACCCCAUAUUUCAGACAACGCAUCGAGGCAAUAUUUCCUCAAACCCUGGCACUCAGAAGAAGGCCUGGUGUGCUUGUGAGAAAGCAGUUGGCUGCCUAAGCAACAUGUCAAAGCAUGUGCGGUCCUACAGGACAAAAGUUGAGGACUGGACAGAAGUCAGUUGUCUGAGGCCCUUGGUGCAAGGUGGGAGAGCUCCAGUGGCCACCUGGAAAUGCAGGAGCCAAGACCUGGGCUGGAGGCCACGAUGGGGAGCAGGGGAAGAUGGUGAGUGCACCGUGCGUGGCCACAGGAAAAAAAUGUAUGGCGAGUGAAUGUGCCGUGGGUGAGAUGUACCCUAAAUAUCUGCAUGGCGUUGAGCACUGAAAGCAGUCGCUCUACUGGCUCAUCACAGAGUCUGACCCCAGACUCCUAAGUACCCCCCAUUGGAAAACGACCAGCCCCUCUGUCUUACCAAGGACGUGAUUGAAACGGUCCUUCGAUUUGGGAAACCGCUUCCUCAAGGCAGCUGUAUUACCAGCCUCUCGGGAGGGGGAAGAGAGUCUGCUUUUCCUUUGUGUCAAGUCAAGAGCAGGAAACUUGGCUCAGCGGGGCCCUCACUGCAGACCCAGGGGUUUGCCUUUAGCCUUUGCAGACAGGAUGCUCUACAGAAGUGUUCAGUAGUCCAAAGACUGCUUUCUGGAAUGUUGGCCUCAUCGGUGGCAUGAGCAAUAGUCCUUCAUGAGUGUUUCCUCUGAGAACAAGCAAUAGGUGGCAACCCCGGAGGCAGCUGAAGGAGGCCCCGGGCUUGGCCAUGUCUGCCCACCCAGGCGAGGCUCACCGAGUGCUUUGAAGAAGUGCCGUCAGCUGGUUGGGGGUCUGAGAAGACACACCACUGUGAAAGACCCUCUGGAUUUCUUCACACCCCACACAAGAAGACUCAUUAAAAGGAGCAACAUGAAAUGGGGUGGAAGGAGGAAUCCAGGAGCAACUGGGUGCAAAUGUGCCAUCGUCCUGUUCACUGGCAUUCCAUUCACUGAACUGAACUCUGUCAACACUGACCUUUUUACUGUGUGUUGCCAACCAGUUCACUUGCAUAGAGAACAUUGAAGUAUCUCGUCACCAAAAAUAUAGUGGCGAUCAGAAUUAAACUACCUUCUGAAGCCUCCAGGCCAAGAGGUGGCAGAACUCAGAUUGGAACCUAGAAAAGCAGGACCCCAAAUCUGUGCUCUUAAGCACAAGGAGGAGGUUUCACACCAGAUGAAGGUGCCUACCCCGUGUCCUUCUUGGCAGGUAAACUCUUUCUUGAUGGUAAGUUGCAGGCCACAGCAGUGUGUAGCCACUACUGCUUUGUGGUUUCCCUAGGCCCACUUCCUCACCUCUUAUUAGAGAGGAUGUAUCUACCCAUACUGCCUAUAGGUAAAGGUGGUAUGAGUGAAGAUAUUGGCGGCUAAACAUAUCCCUGAAAUCCUGCAUUGAACUGGAUAAUGAAAGCAGCAGUUUUUCUUCCGUGAGAAUUUGUUGGAGAUGCUAAAGUCUGAAUCCAUACCUCCCAAAUACCCCUGUAUUUAAAGUUAGUGGCAGGUGAUCUUACAAAAGAACUGGGCCAAAACUGGUUCUGCAGGCAUUAACCUGUCACUCAACUAAGCAGUAUAAAAGAGUUGAGGUGAAAGACGGUGCAAAGACUUGCCACCCUGACAAGGCAUUUUCUCCACACCAUUAGAGGAGCAAGAUAGCUUUCCCAAUGUUUCAGGCCAAGUGCAGGGGACCUCAAAAGUUUUGCCCCCAUCCAGGCCAGCUCAGCAGUAAACUCAUUACAGACACAGUGAAAAGAGGCUCCCCGAGAAAGUCUGCUCAUCCCAAGAUAGCCAUUUGGUUGCUUGGUUCAAGAUAUGACCAGAGAUGAUCUAUUGUUAAAAGUAUUCUCUGAAAAUAACAAGGCGAAAGAAAGCUGAAGUAACUAACAGUUGUGGCUCUUUCUGCAUGCACAUUUUAGGCUCCCAGAAUGACAGGACAAAGCGAUACUGGCUGCUCUGGAGGCUCUGAAACUUCAGUGGUGAACAGAGGAUCCUCUGGUGUCAAAAAGCACAGGUCCCUUAGGAACUGCUGUAAUUUUGUUUCGUGAAAAAAAAAUGUUGGAAAUACUGCAGACUACUGCAAGAAACAUGGAUUCUUCUUUGCUACUGACCUGUUCUAUAGACUUUCCAGUGCUUUCAGGGAAGUCACAGCAAUGUCACUUCAUUUUCCCACCAGUGAUGUGUGCAAACAUGCGUCAUUUUAGUGAAGAUAAUCCCAUCCCCAGUUCCAUUGUGGUUACAUAAACCAAACUGGUCAAAACAAGCAUAUGCUCUUAUUGGCUUUGUUGAUAUAUAACCUUGUUUUCUUUGGAAUCCUAACUCUAUAAUUACAGUCCCUAAAAUCUUCCUGCAAUACAGGAGCCUUGGGUUCAAUCCUUGUAUCAGGAAGAUCCCCUGGAGAAGGAAAUGGCAACAAACUCCAGUAUUCUUGUCUGGAUCCCUAGUUUGGGGAGAUCCCCUGGACAAAGAAAUGGAAACCCACCUCAGUAUUCUUGAAUGGGAAAUUCCAUUGAUGCAGGAGCCCGGUGGGCUACAGUCCAUGGGGCUGCAAAGAGUCAGACAUGACUUAGCAACUAAACUGCAGUAAAACCUUGUUUUCUUUGGAAUCCUAACUCUAUAAUUUACAGUCACUAUAUGACAAGUAAACCAGCUGUCUUGCUUUCUGCUGGCAGGUUGAUACCCUACUACUGCUCUCAUCAGUGAUACUUCUGCUGUUGUUUUUCUUAUGUGGCACAAUGAAACAAAUAUGGGAUCAAGGAAAUUUCAUGUGAAGAGAGUGAGAAGAAAGAAGUCUGCAAGCCAGGAAGAGAUGCUUGACCAGAGACCAAUCCUGCUGGCUCCUGGAUUUUGGACUUCCAGCCUCCAGAACU